rnacentral:sRNA from 1 species
GCUUGGUAUUUAUCAAAAAAUAAGAGGUGGAUAAUUUUUUUUUAGCAAGAUCUACUGUACUCAGUUGUCAAGAUAUUUUGAUACUGUAAUGCUAAUUUGAUCAGAAUGAAAGCAAUUGUUGCUCAGGUAAGGGAUGUGGCCCCUGGGCCUCUUGUUUAACUUCAUAUUUAAAAACAUGGCAUUUGCAUGUUUUAUCUGUAUUUCACAUAUAUUUAAUUUAUAUUUUUUAGAAGGAAUGAUCUUUUUAAAAAUGUGUAUGUGUUUUAUUACAAAUACAUGAAGGUUGUAGUUCAGUAUGUGUUGUAUGCUGUGAUGCAUAUCAUUGAUAAUGAAUUUUUAAAUCAGUUAAACAUUGCAUUAAAAUACUGCAGUGUUGAAUGGUAGAUAUUGAGCAGAUGAACUGUGAUAAUAUAGUAUAGCUUAAGUCGUUGGAAUUUGAGAAUUUGCUAUUUUAUUAGAAAUAAAAAAAUGAAAUAUU